rnacentral:rRNA from 1 species
ACUCGACCCCAUGAAGUCGGAAUCGCUAGUAAUCGCGUAACAGCAUGACGCGGUGAAUACGUUCCCGGGCUUUGUACACACCGCCCGUCACACCAUGGGAAUUGGGUUUACCCGACGGCCGUGCGCUAACCUAGCAAUAGGAGGCAGCGGACCACGGUAGGCUCAGUGACUGGGGUGAAGUCGUAACAAGGUAGCCGUA